AAGCAGUGGGAGCACAGAGCAAUCUGUGUGACUGCGUACCUUUUGUAUAAUGGGUCAGCGACUUAUAUUCUGUAGCAAGGUUAACCGAAUAGGGGAGCCGAAGGGAAACCGAGUCUUAACCGGGCGUUAAGUUGCAGGGUAUAGACCCGAAACCCGGUGAUCUAGCCAUGGGCAGGUUGAAGGUUGGGUAACACUAACUGGAGGACCGAACCGACUAAUGUUGAAAAAUUAGCGGAUGACUUGUGGCUGGGGGUGAAAGGCCAAUCAAACCGGGAGAUAGCUGGUUCUCCCCGAAAGCUAUUUAGGUAGCGCCUCGUGAAUUCAUCUCCGGGGGUAGAGCACUGUUUCGGCAAGGGGGUCAUCCCGACUUACCAACCCGAUGCAAACUGCGAAUACCGGAGAAUGUUAUCACGGGAGACACACGGCGGGUGCUAACGUCCGUCGUGAAGAGGGAAACAACCCAGACCGCCAGCUAAGGUCCCAAAGUCAUGGUUAAGUGGGAAACGAUGUGGGAAGGCCCAGACAGCCAGGAUGUUGGCUUAGAAGCAGCCAUCAUUUAAAGAAAGCGUAAUAGCUCACUGGUCGAGUCGGCCUGCGCGGAAGAUGUAACGGGGCUAAACCAUGCACCGAAGCUGCGGCAGCGACACUGUGUGUUGUUGGGUAGGGGAGCGU
rnacentral:rRNA from 1 species